CUACGGGGCGCUCCAGUGAGGAAUAUUGCACAAUGGGGGAAACCCUGAUGCAGCAACGCCGCGUGGAGGAUGACGCAUUUCGGUGUGUAAACUCCUUUUAUAUGUCAAGAAAAUGACGGUAGCAUAUGAAUAAGCACCGGCUAACUCCGUGCCAGCAGCCGCGGUAAUACGGAGGGUGCAAGCGUUAUUCGGAAUCACUGGGCGUAAAGGACGCGUAGGCGGGUUUGUAAGUCAGGUGUGAAAUCCUACAGCUUAACUGUAGAACUGCACUUGAAACUACUGACCUAGAGUAUGGGAGGGGGAGAUGGAAUUAGUGGUGUAGGGGUAACAUCCGUAGAUAUCACUAGGAAUACCGAAAGCGAAGGCGAUCUCCUGGAACAUUACUGACGCUAAGGCGUGAAAGCGUGGGGAGCAAACAGGAUUAGAUACCCCCGUAGUC
rnacentral:rRNA from 1 species